UGGAAUAGAAGAAGGAGGGAAGAUGCUAUAGGCUCAAAAUCUUCCCUUUGUGUAAGGUGUUGAAGAAAAUUCAUAAGAAGGAAUUUCCAAUAAAUAUGACUAAGUCCUGCAAGAGAUAGAGACAACCUUUGGUAAGUUCUGGGAACCAGUGGCUUGCAAAAAACGUUUUGGUGACAUGAGAACUCAGCAAGUCAGAGUAUGAGAACUGAGACCAGGCGCCUGAGAAAGAAACAUCGAUGUCUGGAAGGAAGCAGGGCCUCAGGAAGGAUACAGGGAGUCUGGGACUUGCAAAGUGCAUUGUGUCUUAGAACUGCUGACAAAUCACUAGAAAUGUUGGCCCUGACUGUGCUAAUUUACAGCUUCCGACUGCAUGAUUAUUAAUAAGAAUUCCAGUAUGAAGGACCAGCCACAGCUGGGUUUCACAGGGAAUGGUAA